GAUGAAGAACGUAGCGAAAUGCGAUAAGUAAUGCGAAUUGCAGAUCUCCGUGAGUCAUUGAAUCUUUGAACGCACAUUGCGCCCUCGGGUAUUCCCGAGGGCAUGCCUGUCCGAGCGUCAUUAUCCAACCAUCAUGCUCGGCUUGCGGUUGAGCCCCGCACCGUCCCCGGGACGGUGGGCUCGAAACAUGUUGGGCGCCCGUGAGGUUGUCGGUGCAGCGAGCUCUCGAGCACGUGCCGGGCAACCGCUCUGGGCGUCGGCCAGCCCCCCCAUUUUCUCAGGUUGACCUCGGAUCAGGUAGGAAUACCCGCUGAACUUAAGCAUAUCAAUAAGCGGAGGA
rnacentral:misc_RNA from 1 species